AAAAGAUGGUGACCGAAGCUCAUUGCCAGGGUCAAAACAUCCACGGACAAAACCACCGAGAUACAAACCGGAUUUUUCAAGGAUUUUGCUGCAAAACAACCCAUGAAAGUACCACUAGAAGCAGCCGAGAUCCACUCCACUUAAACAGCGGCCGCCCAUGUCCCCCCGGAGAAGAAGCAGAAGUCUUCUAAUCAGCCAGAAGCGAGGAAAUCCAGACAUAUGGCACUUUCUCUACGCCUCUCGAGCGUGGCCACGACCUAGCGGUAAUCUCGCGCUUGUGAUUCCUUUGUUUUUCUUUGUUUUUUCUUUGCGGUUGUUUUUUUUUUUACUCUUUUCUUACGCAAGAGUGGGUGGCUUUAACAUGAAUAAUUAGCGACUCUGAUGAAACGCGGCGAGCCACAUCCCAAAGGGAGAAGCGCUAGAAGUCUUACUUAAAGGAAAACAUGCCGUCCGCCAUGUUGUUUUUCUUUUUUUUUCUCUCUCAGUCAACAGGCGGUUGAGGGAUUUCACAUAAUUCUUUCUGUUUCGUCCGUAUGAAUGGGAAAAAUCUUUUGU